UUUAGAGUAAUAUGAGCUUUGAACUUGUAAUUUGGUAAUUAUAAAAUUACCCUCUAAAA
rnacentral:tRNA from 1 species